UUCCAGACUCCUACGGGAGGCAGCAGUGGGGAAUAUUGCACAAUGGGGGAAACCCUGAUGCAGCAACGCCGCGUGAGUGAAGAAGUAUUUCGGUAUGUAAAGCUCUAUCAGCAGGGAAGAGAAUGACGGUACCUGACUAAGAAGCCCCGGCUAACUACGUGCCAGCAGCCGCGGUAAUACGUAGGGGGCGAGCGUUAUCCGGAUUUACUGGGUGUAAAGGGAGCGUAGACGGUUCUGCAAGUCUGAAGUGAAAGCCCGUGGCUUAACCGCGGAACGGCUUUGGAAACUGUGGAACUGGAGUGCUGGAGAGGCAAGCGGAAUUCCUAGUGUAGCGGUGAAAUGCGUAGAUAUUAGGAAGAACACCAGUGGCGAAGGCGGCUUUCUGGACUGAAACUGACGCUGAGGCACGAAAGCGUGGGGAGCGAACAGGAUUAGAUACCCUUGUAAG
rnacentral:rRNA from 1 species